GCCUAGCCUUUGGAGCACCUACAACUCUUGCCUCUGGGUUUCUGGUGCCCUGAGCACACUACCAGGUACCUGGAGGGGCCUGGUGUACCACAGCAACACCUGCAGUGGGAUUACAGCGCAAAGAAUACUCCAAAUUCCAAGUCCAAUCUGACCAAUGGGCAGUAAACAUGUGUUUCAGAUGUCUGAAAUUGGAACAGCUGCAACAAUACGAGGAAUGUAGAUUGCCUUGUUUCCCAUAUGUGGACUGAAGACACAAGUGAAUCUACAGGGUUCUGGGCAAAUGAUAAGAAGAAUGUUAUCCCCAUAUAUAUGUAAACACCUUUCAUCCCAAAGGAAGCCAAAGCACAACCAAUGGGUCACAUUCACCCUUACUUCAUGGCAUCUCCUUGUACCAGCCCAGCCUGCUGUGACCAGGCAGAUCAGCCUAUAGGUAGGCAGGCAUUGUUUCCAUUCCUCCCUCCAUGAGGCAUCUAUCAAGGGCAGGGAGGCUUGAUUUUAUGCUCAAGAAUCCUACAAGGUUCCCAGGAGUAGAGGCUGCAGUGGAGAUGUGCUGCAGCCUGGCCCAGUCAGUACCACUCACUUUGGGGGUUGGAACUGGAUGCCUGGGGAGCUACUCCAGCAGGGAGGAGACUGUUUUGUGGUGCCACAGCCCCUGGGAGCAGACUCUCUGCUACCAUAAAACUUCC